GACGAACGCUGGCGGCGUGCUUAACACAUGCAAGUCGAGCGGUAAGGCCCUUUCGGGGGUACACGAGCGGCGAACGGGUGAGUAACACGUGGGUGACCUGCCCUCAGCUCUGGGAUAAGCCUGGGAAACUGGGUCUAAUACUGGAUAUGACUCCACGGUGCAUGUCGUGGGGUGGAAAGCCUUGUGCGGCUGAGGAUGGGCCCGCGGCCUAUCAGCUUGUUGGUGGGGUGANGGCCUACCAAGGCGACGACGGGUAGCCGGCCUGAGAGGGCGACCGGCCACACUGGGACUGAGACACGGCCCAGACUCCUACGGGAGGCAGCAGUGGGGAAUCUUGCGCAAUGGGCGAAAGCCUGACGCAGCCAUGCCGCGUGAACGAUGAAGGCCUUAGGGUUGUAAAGUUCUUUGCCCGUGACGAUGAUGACGGUAACGGGAGAAUAAGCUCCGGCUAACUUCGUGCCAGCCGCCGCGGUAAC
rnacentral:rRNA from 1 species